UCNUCUGGCUUAACUGGGGGCUUGCGGUGGNUACGGGCCGGCUUGAGUGCGGUAGGGGAGACUGGAACUCCUGGUGUAGCGGUGGAAUGCGCAGAUAUCAGGAAGAACACCGGUGGCGAAGGCGGGUCUCUGGGCCGUUACUGACGCUGAGGAGCGAAAGCGUGGGGAGCGAACAGGAUUAGAUACCCUGGUAGUCCACGCCGUAAACGUUGGGCACUAGGUGUGGGGGGCCUUUUCCGGGUCUUCCGCGCCGUAGCUAACGCAUUAAGUGCCCCGCCUGGGGAGUACGGCCGCAAGGCUAAAACUCAAAGGAAUUGACGGGGGCCCGCACAAGCGGCGGAGCAUGCGGAUUAAUUCGAUGCAACGCGAAGAACCUUACCAAGGCUUGACAUGUGCCGGUCGGCUCCGGAGACGGGGCUUCCUCCUUGUGGGGCCGGUUCACAGGUGGUGCAUGGUUGUCGUCAGCUCGUGUCGUGAGAUGUUGGGUUAAGUCCCGCAACGAGCGCAACCCUUGUCCCGUGUUGCCAGCACGUUGUGGUGGGGACUCGCGGGAGACUGCCGGGGUCAACUCGGAGGAAGGUGGGGAUGACGUCAAAUCAUCAUGCCCCUUAUGUCUUGGGCUUCACGCAUGCUACAAUGGCCGGUACAGAGGGCUGCGAUACCGUGAGGUGGAGCGAAUCCCUUAAAGCCGGUCUCGGUUCGGAUCGGUGUCUGCAACUCGACACCGUGAAGUUGGAGUCGCUAGUAAUCGCAGAUCAGCAACGCUGCGGUGAAUACGUUCUCGGGCCUUGUACACACCGCCCGUCACGUCAUGAAAGUCGGCAACACCCGAAGCCCGUGGCCCUACGGGGAGCGGU
rnacentral:rRNA from 1 species